GGAUGAACGCUAGCUACAGGCUUAACACAUGCAAGUCGAGGGGCAGCAUGGUCUUAGCUUGCUAAGGCCGAUGGCGACCGGCGCACGGGUGAGUAACACGUAUCCAACCUGCCGUCUACUCUUGGACAGCCUUCUGAAAGGAAGAUUAAUACAAGAUGGCAUCAUGAGUCCACAUGUUCACAUGAUUAAAGGUAUUCCGGUAGACGAUGGGGAUGCGUUCCAUUAGAUAGUAGGCGGGGUAACGGCCCACCUAGUCUUCGAUGGAUAGGGGUUCUGAGAGGAAGGUCCCCCACAUUGGAACUGAGACACGGUCCAAACUCCUACGGGAGGCAGCAGUGAGGAAUAUUGGUCAAUGGGCGAGAGCCUGAACCAGCCAAGUAGCGUGAAGGAUGACUGCCCUAUGGGUUGUAAACUUCUUUUAUAAAGGAAUAAAGUCGGGUAUGGAUACCCGUUUGCAUGUACUUUAUGAAUAAGGAUCGGCUAACUCCGUGCCAGCAGCCGCGGUAAUACGGAGGAUCCGAGCGUUAUCCGGAUUUAUUGGGUUUAAAGGGAGCGUAGAUGGAUGUUUAAGUCAGUUGUGAAAGUUUGCGGCUCAACCGUAAAAUUGCAGUUGAUACUGGAUAUCUUGAGUGCAGUUGAGGCAGGCGGAAUUCGUGGUGUAGCGGUGAAAUGCUUAGAUAUCACGAAGAACUCCGAUUGCGAAGGCAGCCUGCCAAGCUGCAACUGACAUUGAGGCUCGAAAGUGUGGGUAUCAAACGGGAUUAGAUACCCUGGUAGUCCACACGGUAAACGAUGAAUACUCGCUGUUUGCGAUAUACAGCAAGCGGCCAAGCGAAAGCGUUAAGUAUUCCACCUGGGGAGUACGCCGGCAACGGUGAAACUCAAAGGAAUUGACGGGGGCCCGCACAAGCGGAGGAACAUGUGGUUUAAUUCGAUGAUACGCGAGGAACCUUACCCGGGCUUAAAUUGCAGAUGAAUUACGGUGAAAGCCGUAAGCCGCAAGGCAUCUGUGAAGGUGCUGCAUGGUUGUCGUCAGCUCGUGCCGUGAGGUGUCGGCUUAAGUGCCAUAACGAGCGCAACCCUUGUUGUCAGUUACUAACAGGUUCCGCUGAGGACUCUGACAAGACUGCCAUCGUAAGAUGUGAGGAAGGUGGGGAUGACGUCAAAUCAGCACGGCCCUUACGUCCGGGGCUACACACGUGUUACAAUGGGGGGUACAGAGGGCCGCUACCACGCGAGUGGAUGCCAAUCCCCAAAACCUCUCUCAGUUCGGACUGGGGUCUGCAACCCGACUCCACGAAGCUGGAUUCGCUAGUAAUCGCGCAUCAGCCACGGCGCGGUGAAUACGUUCCCGGGCCUUGUACACACCGCCCGUCAAGCCAUGGGAGCCGGGGGUACCUGAAGUGCGUAACCGCGAGGAGCGCCCUAGGGUAAAACUGGA
rnacentral:rRNA from 1 species